rnacentral:rRNA from 1 species
GACGUAGGGCGCGAGCGUUGUCCGGAUUUAUUGGGCGUAAAGAGCUCGUAGGCGGCUUGUCGCGUCGUUCGUGAAAACCCGGGGCUCAACUCCGGGCUUGCGGGCGAUACGGGCAGGCUAGAGUUCGGUAGGGGAGACUGGAAUUCCUGGUGUAGCGGUGAAAUGCGCAGAUAUCAGGAAGAACACCCGUGGCUAAGGCGGUUCUCUAGUACGGUACUGACGCUGAGACGCGAAAGCGUGGGGAGCGAACAGG